rnacentral:snRNA from 1 species
GUGCUCGCUCCGGCAGCACAUAUACUGAAACUGGAAUGAUACAGAGAUUAGUAUGGGCCCUGCGCAAGGAUGACACGCAAAUUCGUGAAGUGUUCCAUAUUUUU